AACGAACGCUGGCGGCAGGCCUAACACAUGCAAGUCGAGCGGACCUUUCGGGGUCAGCGGCGGACGGGUGAGUAACGCGUGGGAAUAUGCCCUUCUCUACGGAAUAGUCCUGGGAAACUGGGGGUAAUACCGUAUACGCCCUUUGGGGGAAAGAUUUAUCGGGGAAGGAUUAGCCCGCGUUGGAUUAGGUAGUUGGUGGGGUAAUGGUCUACCAAGCCGACGAUCCAUAGCUGGUUUGAGAGGAUGAUCAGCCACACUGGGACUGAGACACGGCCCAGACUCCUACGGGAGGCAGCAGUGGGGAAUCUUAGACAAUGGGGGCAACCCUGAUCUAGCCAUGCCGCGUGAGUGAUGAAGGCCUUAGGGUUGUAAAGCUCUUUCAGCUGGGAAGAUAAUGACGGUACCAGCAGAAGAAGCCCCGGCUAACUCCGUG
rnacentral:rRNA from 1 species